GACGAACGCUGGCGGCGUGCUUAACACAUGCAAGUCGAACGGUAAGGCCCUUCGGGGUACACGAGUGGCGAACGGGUGAGUAACACGUGGGUGAUCUGCCCUGCACUUCGGGAUAAGCCUGGGAAACUGGGUCUAAUACCGGAUAGGACUCCGGACUGCAUGGCCUGGGGGGGAAAGCUUUUGCGGUGUGGGAUGGGCCCGCGGCCUAUCAGCUUGUUGGUGGGGUGAUGGCCUACCAAGGCGACGACGGGUAGCUGGCCUGAGAGGGUGACCGGCCACACUGGGACUGAGAUACGGCCCAGACUCCUACGGGAGGCAGCAGUGGGGAAUAUUGCACAAUGGGCGCAAGCCUGAUGCAGCGACGCCGCGUGAGGGAUGACGGCCUUCGGGUUGUAAACCUCUUUCAGCACAGACGAAGCGCAAGUGACGGUAUGUGCAGAAGAAGGACCGGCCAACUACGUGCCAGCCGCCGCGGUAA
rnacentral:rRNA from 1 species